rnacentral:rRNA from 1 species
GACAGAGGUGGCAAGCGUUGCUCGGAUUCACUGGGCUUAAAGGGUGCGUAGGCGGCUUUGUAAGUCCGAGGUGGAAUUCCACAGCUUAACUGUGGAACUGCCUUGGAAACUGCAAGGCUUGAGUCAGGUAGAGGGAGGCGGAAUUCCCGGUGUAGCGGUGAAAUGCGUAGAUAUCGGGAGGAAGGCCGGUGGCGAAGGCAGCCUCCUGGGCCUGCACUGACGCUGAGGCGCGAAAGCGUGGGGAGCAAACAGG